rnacentral:rRNA from 1 species
AUGGCACCAGGACCGCCGCCAACACUCCCGGACGAGCUUGUAGAAGAGAUCCUCGUCCGCAUCCCGCCCGACGAUCCGGCCAGCCUCCUUCGUGCCUCCCUCUUCUGCAAGUCCUGGAGCGAGGUCGUCUCCCGCCGUGGGUUCCACCGCCUCCUCCAUGAUCUCCACCGAGCACCCCCGGUGCUCGGGUAUCUCCAUGACUACGAGGACAUGCCCGAAUUCAUCCCCGCCACCGCAUCGCCACCAUUCUCCCUCGCCGUUCCCGACCGCCGGCUCUGGCAGGCCGUCGACUGCCGCCACGGCCGCGCCCUCUUCCUGUCCAACCCCAAGUGCCCGUAUACCGAGGAACUCCUCAUGUGGGAGCCAAUCACAGGUGCCCAGCAGUGCAUACCGGUGCCCGCAGCAUUCCAGAGUGGCCGCACAACCGCCGCCGUGUUCUGCAUAGCAGAUGGCUGCGACCACUGCCAUUGCCACGGAGGUCCCUUUUGCGUGGUCUUCGUCUUCUCCGUCGACGACGAAGACAUACGUACUAGUGAGUAUGUCACAUCGGCGUGCGUAUACUCAUCGGACACUGACGCCUGGGGCGAGCCGACCUUGAUGCAUGGCGAGUGUUACAUGUCCUUCACCUAUUAUUCCAGUGUGCUUGUUGGGAGGUCUCAGCUCCACUUCUUGUCCGAUGGUGGGUUGAUCUUGGAGUAUGACUUGGCAAGGCACAGGCUGAUUUGGUUCGAUGUACCAUACUCCUGCAGCAUUAAGGAUAUAUAUGAUUGCAACCUCAUGCUGGCAGAGAACGGUGGACUAGGACUCGUCGAAGAAUUGAAUCCGCAUCUACAAUUGUGGUCAAGAGAGGCUGAUGUCCAAUGGGUACCGGGCCGGAUCAUCUACUUGGGGAGUUUGUCCCUAAACGGUGCUCCAGUGGAAGAAGCUCAUGUGAUGGGCUUUGCCGAGGGAGCAAACGUCAUUGUUGUGACCACAUCUGCUGGCGUCUUCUCAGUCCAAGUACAAUCAGCGCAUGCAAACAAGGGGUGUGAUGAUUUUGGCUAUGGUAAUCUGAUUCCAAUUGUGGGAUAUUAUACACUCCUGUACCCCAAGUUGAGCACAUGA